AAAUUUAAAUAAAUAACUCUUCCUUUUUCUAAAUUUGAACCAAUAACCCUACCUUUUUCUAAAUUUAAAUAAAUAACUCUUCCUUUUUCUAAAUAUGAAUCAAUAACCCUACCUUUUUCUAAAUUUAAAUAAAUAACUCUUCCUUUUUCUAAAUUUGAAUCAAUAACCUUUUUUUUGUGUGCUGGUGGUGUUAAUUACCACAGGUUUGUGUAUGCGUCUAGUGCGGUUGGGAGUCAUAGACUUGCGCUGCCGCUGGAUAGCUUAUAUUCAUAGGUGAAAAGAAAGCUGAGUGCGUAAGUCUUUCCUGCCAGUACAUAGCCUCUGCACUAACAAGACUUCUACAGUGCCUCCUCGCGACAGCACAUGGUAACUAGGAUUAAGUAUCCUAGGCUUCACUGUAGAGGAUCUCGGAGUAGCAAGGACCCUAGAGAUGCAGUGUGUAGGCCCAUCGAUGUGUGGACAUGCCCUAGCACUCAUCAACCUUGCCCCAGUUAUGGGUAAAUAGCCGGCUGGAUGAUGGUCAUCAGCCUUGAAAGACAAUUUGUCUAGGAGAGAGAACUCUUGAUAUAAAAUUCUGGGUAGAUUUGACUUGUCAGCCUUGGUCUGCAAUUGAUCUAAAGGAAAGAAACCUUGAGUAAAGAUUCUCUGGUUCUUCAGGUUAGGGAUUGAGAGAUAGGCCAACAACCUAUCCUCGUAAAAACCAUAAUGUUACAGAAAAGCAAAAUCCAUUUGCGCCCUAUGUGACACUUGGCGAUUACUGGAGUUGUAAGUUGUAUAGUAGACAGUAAGAAUAGCAGACAAUAAAAUACUCAAAUGAUAGAUCUGAAAGGAAUAUAGACUUAAUCAGCUGUGAACCUGAGAAUGUGAAGGAUAGUCAUUUAUUAGGAUGUGACCAGUAUUCUUGUGUAUGGACAGUUGGAGAAGGAUAUAUAUACUGAUUAAUCUCCCAGAUAAGGAACAUCACAACCGGGUCUGCAUGAAGCUUUAACAUUCAAAAGACAAGUUAUCCAGGAUAUUUUGCAAACACGUAAAUGAUUUAUUGAAGUAAAAUCUAAGGAAAGUAGGACCUGGAUGUAAAAUAAUACCAACUUUAAGACAAACUGCUUGUUAAUUUAGAAAUCAACUAUUGCAGAAGAACGGAUUCUGUUGAUCAGACAAACUUGGAAACACUUAUUGACAAAAAAUAUAUGUAGUAAUACAAUUAUGUUUAGAGAGAGAUAGAGAGAGGGAGAGAGCCAGUUGUAAAGAUUUAUUCUUUCAAACCAGAUAUGUUGAUUUACAUUUGAAUUUCAUAUGCCUACAGUUCCCCCUAAAUGGUCUUAGUUAAAACAUGUACUAGGUGUUUAAUGUAAGACUUUGAUGUGACUUGUGAGAACAACCAGCUGCCAUUGGUUUAAAUCUAUUUUUAUGCCCUU